rnacentral:rRNA from 1 species
UACGUAGGGUGCGAGCGUUGUCCGGAAUUAUUGGGCGUAAAGAGCUCGUAGGCGGUUUGUCGCGUCUGCUGUGAAAACUCAGGGCUUAACCCUGAGCCUGCAGUGGGUACGGGCAGACUAGAGUGUGGUAGGGGAGAUCGGAAUUCCUGGUGUAGCGGUGGAAUGCGCAGAUAUCAGGAGGAACACCGGUGGCGAAGGCGGAUCUCUGGGCCGAUACUGACGCUGAGGAGCGAAAGCGUGGGGAGCGAACAGG